rnacentral:rRNA from 1 species
GCCCAGACUCCUACGGGAGGCAGCAGUGGGGAAUAUUGCACAAUGGGGGGAACCCUGAUGCAGCGACGCCGCGUGGGCGAGGAAGUAUUUCGGUAUGUAAAGCCCUAUCGGCAGGGAAGAAGAAAUGACGGUACCUGAAUAAGAAGCACCGGCUAAAUACGUGCCAGCAGCCGCGGUAAUACGUAUGGUGCAAGCGUUAUCCGGAUUUACUGGGCGUAAAGGGAGCGCAGGCGGCGCGCCAAGUCUGAUGUGAAACCCCGGGGCUCAACCCCGGGCAUGCAUUGGAAACUGGCGGGCUGGAGUGCCGGAGAGGUAAGCGGAAUUCCUAGUGUAGCGGUGAAAUGCGUAGAUAUUAGGAGGAACACCGGUGGCGAAGGCGACUAUCUGGCACAUAACUGACGCUGAGGAGCGAAAGCGUGGGUAGCAAACAGGAUUAGAUACCCUUGUA